UACGUAGGUGGCAAGCGUUGUCCGGAUUUACUGGGCGUAAAGAGCGCGCAGGCGGUCGUUCAAGGCGCGUGUGAAAGCCCCCGGCUCAACUGGGGAGGGUCACGCGAUACUGAUCGACUGGAAGGCAGGAGAGGGUAGUGGAAUUCCCGGUGUAGUGGUGAAAUGCGUAGAUAUCGGGAGGAACACCAGUGGCGAAGGCGACUACCUGGCCUGUUCUUGACGCUGAGGCGCGAAAGCUAGGGGAGCAAACGGG
rnacentral:rRNA from 1 species